UCUCUCAUAACUUGGUUGGUAAAGAAUCUGUCUUCAAUGCAGGAGACCCCGGUUUGAUUCCUGGGUUGGAGAG
rfam:Ovis aries breed Texel chromosome 10, whole genome shotgun sequence.